rnacentral:lncRNA from 1 species
GUACAAAUCAGUGACAACUGUUUCCGGCGUCCUGCAAAAUAAAUGAUGAAUUAAUAAGUUUGCUGAUUCAGUAAUAACACAUUCCUACAGGAUAUUUCUAUUAUGGUAUAUCUUCUCCCACAGUAUAAAUACAAAAUUAAGUAUUUAGAAAUUAGAAAACUGCAUAUAUGGUAUCUGAUACCUGGAUACUAUCUAAAUGAGUUCUUGCAUGUUUUGACCAUAGUGUUUAGCUUUGAUGACUUCAGAUUGUGUUUUAACAGGAAACAGUGACAUUUAAGGAUGUGGCUGUGGACCUCACCCAGGAGGAAUGGCAGCAAAUGAAACCUGCUCAGAGGAACUUGUACCGUGAUGUGAUGCUGGAGAACUACAGCAACCUAGUUACAGUGGGUAAGGGGAGCUUUGCAGUCUUACACAGAAUUCUGUUUUUGAAAUAUGUGAAGACUUCAACUUGCCAUAUGUCUUUAACUAGCAUUUCCUUUCUUCAUAUGAUUGUAUGUGCUAGUCUUUAGAAUAAAUGCUAAUUAUUUUGUGUCAUUGUGAAAGUUCCUCCAUCAUCUUUCAUAGGCCCUCCAGUCCCCAGGACUCAACCCAAGAUCUGGAUGGUUGUCUCCAGCAUUAACAUUCAGGUCCUUUGCUGUCUCUCGAAAUAGGUUGUCAAGUCACCAAACCAGAUGUGAUCUUCAAGUUGGAGCAGGAAGAGGAGCCAUGGGUGGUAGAAGAAGAAAUGCUUGGGAGGCACUGUCCAGAGAGGAGAGAAGAUAGAGAUGUUUAAUUCCACCAAGCUGAAACGGAAAGUCUCUUCUGUAUUUGAUCCUAGGGAUCACCCUUCUUGGAAAUGUCUUCUUUACUCUUCUCUAAAGGAUUCUGAUUUCUCCUCCAUUUGUUUAUUUUUUCUUAUUUCCUUAUGGACUGUGUUUUAUAUAAUUCCUCUUCUCCAGCCCUCAAGAACAUUAUUGAAACUAGUUCUAAAUUACAUAUGGACUCCUUCUUCCUUUAUGUACCUUCAUGAUGUAGAUGUGUUCCUGCCUUCAAAUCAGUAUGUAACUCCGGACUUUAAAUUCGUCCUCUUUUUUUUCAGCCCCACUCUUCUCCCUACCUAAAUCCUCCAUUGUGUGUGUGUGUGUGUGUGUGUGUGUGUG